AUUGAACGCUGGCGGCAUGCCUUACACAUGCAAGUCGAACGGUAACAGGGAGCUUGCUCCGCUGACGAGUGGCGAACGGGUGAGUAAUGUAUCGGAACGUACCAUUCAGUGGGGGAUAACGUAGCGAAAGUUACGCUAAUACCGCAUAUUCUGUGAGCAGGAAAGCAGGGGAUCGCAAGACCUUGCGCUGAUUGAGCGGCCGAUAUCAGAUUAGCUAGUUGGUGAGGUAAAGGCUCACCAAGGCGACGAUCUGUAGCGGGUCUGAGAGGAUGAUCCGCCACACUGGAACUGAGACACGGUCCAGACUCCUACGGGAGGCAGCAGUGGGGAAUUUUGGACAAUGGGGGCAACCCUGAUCCAGCCAUGCCGCGUGAGUGAAGAAGG
rnacentral:rRNA from 1 species